GAACUUACCUGGCAGGAGGGAGACCAUGAUCAUAAAGGUGGUUCUCCCAGAACAAGGCUAGCCCAUUGCACUUCAGCUGUGCUGACUCCUGUGAUUUCCCCAAAUGCAGGAUACUUGACUGCAAAAUUUGUAUAGUGGGGGGCUGCAUUUGCAUUCUCCCC